rnacentral:rRNA from 1 species
UACGAAGGGGGCUAGCGUUGCUCGGAAUCACUGGGCGUAAAGCGCACGUAGGCGGCUUUCUAAGUCAGGGGUGAAAUCCUGGAGCUCAACUCCAGAACUGCCUUUGAUACUGAGAAGCUUGAGUCCGGGAGAGGUGAGUGGAACUGCGAGUGUAGAGGUGAAAUUCGUAGAUAUUCGCAAGAACACCAGUGGCGAAGGCGGCUCACUGGCCCGGUACUGACGCUGAGGUGCGAAAGCGUGGGGAGCAAACAGG